GCAAGUCCAAAGGGAGACCCUGGAGAUUUCCAGUUUGAAGGCUACCCCUACAAAAGACUUCAAAGUAUCCAAGCGGAAGUAAACAAAUUCUGGAGGAAGUGGAGCCAAUUGGCUGGCCCUAAUCUGUUCAUAAGGAACAAAUGGCACACCGAAAAUCGAAACGUUGCUGUUGGAGAUGUGGUCUGGUUGGCUGACCAAAACGCCUUGAGAGGACAGUACAAGCUGGCUAGAGUGGUCAGUGUUAAUGCUGACAGCAAAGGCAUUGUAAGAGAUGUGCUUGUGAAGACUUUUCCCAGCUAUCCUGUUCCCAUCACAAAGCCAAAUGACAAGAAAGGGCCCACAAAGGAAAAAAGUGCAAGAACCAAGAGGCUUCAGACGAAGAUCCCAGCCACAAUUCUUCAUAGAGAUGUCAGACGUCUUGUCAUUCUACUUCCCACUGAAGAACAAUGAGAGGUGUAAAGGACUUGUGACCUCGCUGAGUUUGGAAAAACCAGGAGGUCAAGUGGGAGGUGUUGAGCUGAAUCUCAGGACAUGGGACCUUAAAAAAAAAAAAAAAAAAAAAAAAAAAAAAAAAAAACUACACUUCCCAGAAUGCACUGGUAGCAGCAAGGAGGGACCUGACACCUGGUGCUUGACAGCUUGACACCUGAUCAGUGAUCACUGAUAUAGAGCACCUGGGAAGGACUGGGGGAAGCUCAGCCAGUCUGGCAAACACACUUCAGAAGAGAGACACGAGGAAAGAACAAAGAAGAGCCAAGUCCACUCAUGGAUUCAGUCCAAAGACGCCAAUGGUUUACAACCUAUUGAAAUACUCUGACCAACCAACUAGAAGGAAAAUAAAGUUUUGUGUUGGAAGUUUAAAA